UACAGAGGGUGCGAGCGUUGUCCGGAAUCACUGGGCGUAAAGGGCGCGUAGGCGGCCUGGUAAGUAGGGGGUGAAAUCUCAUGGCUCAACUGUGAGGCUGCCUCCUAGACUGCCGGGCUUGAGCAUGGUAGAGGCUGGUGGAAUUCCCGGUGUGGCGGUGUAAUGCGUAGUGAUCUGGAAGAACAUCCGUGGCGAAGGCGGCUAGCUGGGCCCUCUGCUGACGCUGAGUCGCUAAAGCGUGAGGAGCUCACAGG
rnacentral:rRNA from 1 species